UAUACCCGCCUCUUUCCCUGAAGAAAUUUGUGCGCCAGAUAUUUAGAAAGCUGCAAACAUCUCUCACCUCUUAUUAAAAUAUCCUUGCUGUGGACUUCCCCUCAGCCGCCCGGUAGCUAUUCAGGUAUGCGCGCACGGAGACAUAACAACGGGACUGUUUGUAUGACUAAGGGAUCAGCUCUGCUGUCAGGUCCGAUCUGGACCAAAAUCAAAA